rnacentral:rRNA from 1 species
GACGAACGCUGGCGGCUUGCUUAACACAUGCAAGUCGAGCGGAGCGGCGAACGGGUGAGUAACGCGUGAGUAACUGCCCCCCUCUCUGGGAUAACAGUUGGAAACGGCUGCUAAUACCGGAUAGUGGGGGAUGACUCGCGUACUUUCAGCUUGUUGGUGGGGGAGUGGCCUACAAAGGCGACGACGGGUAGCCGGCCUGAGAGGGCGACCGGACACACUGGGCUGAGAUACGGCCGCAACUCCUACGGGAGGCGGCACGGGUGAAUAGUGCACAUUGGGGGAAACCCUUAUGCAGCAACGCCGCUUGCGGGAUUACGGCCUUCGGGUUGUAAACCGCUUUCAGCCAUGACGCGGUAGUGGCAGAAGAAGCACCGGCUAACUACGUGCCAGCAGCCGCGGUAAUAC